GACGAACGCUGGCGGCGUGCUUAACACAUGCAAGUCGAACGGAAAGGCCCUGCUUUUGUGGGGUGCUCGUGUGGCGAACGGGUGAGUAACACGUGAGUAACCUGCCCCUGACUUUGGGAUAACUUCAGGAAACUGGGGCUAAUACCGGAUAGGAGCUCCUGCUGCAUGGUGGGGGUUGGAAAGUUUCGGCGGUUGGGGAUGGACUCGCGGCUUAUCAGCUUGUUGGUGGGGUAGUGGCUUACCAAGGCUUUGACGGGUAGCCGGCCUGAGAGGGUGACCGGCCACAUUGGGACUGAGAUACGGCCCAGACUCCUACGGGAGGCAGCAGUGGGGAAUAUUGCACAAUGGGCGGAAGCCUGAUGCAGCAACGCCGCGUGCGGGAUGACGGCCUUCGGGUUGUAAACCGCUUUCGCCUGUGACGAAGCGUGAGUGACGGUAAUGGGUAAAGAAGCACCGGCUAACUACGUG
rnacentral:rRNA from 1 species